CUCCGGUUGAUCCCCGCCGGACCUGACUGCUAUCGGAUUGGUACUAAGCCAUGCGAGUCAUUGUAGCAAUACAAGGCGGACGGCUCAGUAACACGUAGUCAACCUAACCUAUGGACGUGGAUAACCUCGGGAAACUGAGAAUAAACCGCGAUAGAUCAUUAUGCCUGGAAUGGCUUAUGGUUCAAACAAUUUAUUGCCGUAGGAUGGGACUGCGGCCUAUCAGCUUGUUGGUGAGGUAAUGGCCCACCAAGGCUAUAACAGGUACGGGCUCUGAGAGGAGAAGCCCGGAGAUGGGUACUGAGACACGGACCCAGGCCCUAUGGGGCGCAGCAGGCGAGAAACCUUAGCAAUGUGCGAAAGCACGACUAGGUUAAUCCGAGUGAUUUCUGUUGAAGAAAUCUUUUGUCAGUCGUAAAACCACAGACGAAUAAGGGGUGGGCAAGUCUGGUGUCAGCCGCCGCGGUAAUACCAGCACCUCGAGUGGUCAGGAGGUUUAUUGGGCCUAAAGCAUCCGUAGCCGGCUACGCAAGUCUCCGGUUAAAUCCAGCUGCUCAACAGAUGGGCUGCCGGAGAUACUACAUAGCUAGGGAGCGGGAGAGGUAGACGGUAUUCUGUGGGUAGGGGUAAAAUCCACUGAUCCAUAGAGGACCACCAGUGGCGAAGGCGGUCUACCAGAACGCGUUCGACGGUGAGGGAUGAAAGCUGGGGGGGCAAACCGGAUUAGAUACCCGGGUAGUCCCAGCUGUAAACGAUGCAAACUCGGUGAUGCAUUGGCUUAUGGCCAAUGCAGUGCCGCAGGGAAGCCGUUAAGUUUGCCGCCUGGGAAGUACGGACGCAAGUCUGAAACUUAAAGGAAUUGGCGGGGGAGCA
rnacentral:rRNA from 1 species